rnacentral:rRNA from 1 species
GACGAACGCUGGCGGCGUGCUUAACACAUGCCAGUCGAACGGAAAGGCCCCUUUGGGGUUACUCGAGUGGCGAACGGGGGCGUAACACGUAAUUAACCUGCCCUUUACUUCUGGUUAACUUCAGGAAACUGGGGCUAAUACCGGAUAGGAAUCCUUGCUCCUUGGUGGGGGUUGGAAAGCUUCGGCGGUUUUGGAUGGACUCGCGGCUUAUCAGCUUGUUGGUGGGGUAGUGGCUUACCAAGGCUUUGACGGGUAGCCGGCCUGAGAGGGGGACCGGCCACAUUGGGACUGAGAUACGGCCCAGACUCCUACGGGAGGCAGCAGUGGGAAUAUUGCACAAUGGGCGGAAGCCUGAUGCAGAAACGCCGCGGGCGGGAGGACGGCCUUCGGGUUGAAAACCGCUUUCAGCAGGGGAGAAGCUUGUGGUGACGGUACCUGCAGAAGAAGCACCGGCUAACUACGUG